rnacentral:lncRNA from 1 species
AAGAUACUGAACUCCCAGCCUGAGCCUCCUGAUGAUCGAGUUUAUGAACCUGUAGGCACCGGUGUGAUGGUUAAAAAGGGGGAAGAGGUAGGGAAAUGUCAUCCCAGCUGCUUGGUACAAUGCGUGUUAAAGUUUUUUGUUAUUAUUAUUAUACUACAUACUACAUACUAGAAUAGUAGUUUGUGGUGCAAUAUUGUGAAGAGCAAUUGGUGUUGUGGACCAUUGGCAGAUAGCAGGGUUUAAGAUGGGAUCGACGGUGGUGAUGGUAUUUGAGGCACCUGUAGUGUCCAAGGCAAGAUGGAGAGAGGAUGGCAGUGGCACGGUAACGUCAGAUUUCGAUUUCUGUAUCAAGGCUGGCGAUAGGAUCAGGGUAGGAGAAGCCAUUGGGCGAUGGACAUCGCGGGAAUGAAUGAAUGAAGGCAUGGCAUGGCAUCUCUCUCUAUAUAUCUUGUGUUAACAUGAUGGAUGAUGAGUAUCGUCGUCGUAUCAAUGUCUCUUUCGUUUUUAUUUUUGAGCUGCGGUGCCGGUGCAUGCUACUACAAAAAGACUUGUAUCUUCUGUAGGGAAGUAAAGGAAACUAUUGCCAUUUUGACUUGACUUGGGCGAUUUGAGAGAGAAUGAUAUUCUUGUUACUCAGCAGUUUUAAGACUUGUUUUCAGCUUUGUUUAGUUCCAAAGUUUUUUUCUAAACUUCCAACUUUCCAUCACAUCAAACUUUUCAUACAAACACAACUUUUCAGUCACAUCGUCUCUAAUUUCAACCAAAUUCUAAACUUUGGGCCGAACUAAACACAACCUAAGUAGAAUUGUUUUGAAGUUGAAUCUUGUUCCUUCCAACUGUGUGGUUCAGGGAGACGAAAAUAUGUCCUCCUAUAGUGCAGUCAUAGAUUGAUUGUAACAUACGGAGUAGAAAUGAGACCGAUAAUUAACUGUAUGUAUCCUAGUAGUACGUUUUAGUGGCAGUAGUGGCGGUGGCGGCAACCGGCAAGGAAAGAAUGCGCAACUAUAAUAGUACUAUCUCAUAUGUUGUUUUUUUUUUACUCAUGGCAUGACAGGAGCAGAGCAAACACAGAUGACUGAUUAAUGGUUGCAUCUAGUAGUAGUAGUACAUGGAUCGAAUGGCAGCAGCAGCAGCAGCUGAAGGCAAAGUUGCUUGACAAAAAUUGAAAAGAAGAUGAUGUUGCAGCAGCAGAAGGAGUUGGUGAGAUCAGAUGAGGCCCUUGGUCCUGUACAUGUAAGAGAGAGAUGAGAUCUACGAAGAAGACAUGUUGGUCAGUAGAUGAUGAAGAAGCAAGGGAGGAUAGGAGGGAAGGGUCAGAGCACACCUACGUCUGCUUGGAGAAGGAGGAGGAUGGAGCGGAGGAAGCGGCGACGGCGGUGGAGGAGGAGGAAGAGCGCUUGCUGCGGAAGAUCAUGUAGGCGAGCGGGAGGACAACGCCGGCCAUCAUGAUGGCGGCGCCGACCAGGUACCUCGCCGG